rnacentral:rRNA from 1 species
CGUGCGGCAGCUACACAUGCAGUCGAGCGGUAGCACAGAGAGCUUGCUCUCGGGUGACGAGCGGCGGACGGGUGAGUAAUGUCUGGGAAACUGCCUGAUGGAGGGGGAUAACUACUGGAAACGGUAGCUAAUACCGCAUAACGUCGCAAGACCAAAGUGGGGGACCUUCGGGCCUCAUGCCAUCAGAUGUGCCCAGAUGGGAUUAGCUAGUAGGUGGGGUAACGGCUCACCUAGGCGACGAUCCCUAGCUGGUCUGAGAGGAUGACCAGCCACACUGGAACUGAGACACGGUCCAGACUCCUACGGGAGGCAGCAGUGGGGAAUAUUGCACAAUGGGCGCAAGCCUGAUGCAGCCAUGCCGCGUGUGUGAAGAAGGCCUUCGGGUUGUAAAGCACUUUCAGCGGGGAGGAAGGCGGUGAGGUUAAUAACCUUGUCGAUUGACGUUACCCGCAGAAGAAGCACCGGCUAACUCCGUGCCAGCAGCCGCGGUAAUACGGAGGGUGCAAGCGUUAAUCGGAAUUACUGGGCGUAAAGCGCACGCAGGCGGUCUGUCAAGUCGGAUGUGAAAUCCCCGGGCUCAACCUGGGAACUGCAUUCGAAACUGGCAGGCUAGAGUCUUGUAGAGGGGGGUAGAAUUCCAGGUGUAGCGGUGAAAUGCGUAGAGAUCUGGAGGAAUACCGGUGGCGAAGGCGGCCCCCUGGACAAAGACUGACGCUCAUGUGCGAAAGCGUGGGGAGCAAACAGGAUUAGAUACCCUGGGUAGUCCACGCCGUAAACGAUGUCGAUUUGGAGGUUUGUGCCCUUGAGGCGUGGCUUCCAGAGCUAACGCGUUAAAUCGACCGCCUGGGGAGUACGGCCGCGAAGGUUAACACUCAUAUGAAUUGACGGGGGGCCCGCACAGCGGGUGUAGCAUGUGGUUUAAUUCUAUGCCACGCGAAAGCGUACCUGAUCUGACGUCCACAGAACUUACCAGAGAUUGCAUUGGUGCCUUCGGG